GCAUAUGUGUAUCCUUCGCGCUUCCAUAUUACCCACAAUCCUAUGCGCGCGGCUUUGCUGGCUCGUUAAAAAAAAUUAAAUGGCGGACCUAAGCGGGAGUUGGAGCGGCAUCGCUGACGACGAAAUAAUCAUUUAACUGGACAAACGAAGGCGGUCACUGAUGAUGGGAAAGCAAAAAACAAGCAGGGAGACUGGCCAAAGAGAGACGUUGAAUAGAUUAUUUGCUAUAGCCUAUUAGAGAUUGGCAUUCUGAAAAUAAAUGCAUUAAAU